rnacentral:rRNA from 1 species
AGUGAACGCUGGCGGUAGGCCUAACACAUGCAAGUCGAACGGCAGCACAGUAAGAGCUUGCUCUUACGGGUGGCGAGUGGCGGACGGGUGAGGAAUACAUCGGAAUCUACUUUUUCGUGGGGGAUAACGUAGGGAAACUUACGCUAAUACCGCAUACGACCUACGGGUGAAAGCAGGGGAUCUUCGGACCUUGCGCGAUUGAAUGAGCCGAUGUCGGAUUAGCUAGUUGGCGGGGUAAAGGCCCACCAAGGCGACGAUCCGUAGCUGGUCUGAGAGGAUGAUCAGCCACACUGGAACUGAGACACGGUCCAGACUCCUACGGGAGGCAGCAGUGGGGAAUAUUGGACAAUGGGCGCAAGCCUGAUCCAGCCAUACCGCGUGGGUGAAGAAGGCCUUCGGGUUGUAAAGCCUUUUUGUUGGGAAAGAAAAGCAGCAGGUUAAUACCCCGCUGUUCUGACGGUGCCCAAAGAAUAAGCACCGGCUAACUUCGUG